GCCUGGGUGGCUCAGUCGUUGAGUGUCUGCCUUUGGCUCAGGGCAUGAUCCCAGUAUUGUGGGAUCGAGCCCCACAUCAGGCU
rfam:Ailuropoda melanoleuca scaffold2787_2, whole genome shotgun sequence.